CAAGCUUUAUAAGCAGGCGCCGUGACGACGGGCCCCCAGAUUCGAACAUGGACACUCGGGUGCUGACGGCCGUGUUGUGCGUGCAGCUGGCGUUGCUGCUGUUGGCCUUGCGGUCGGCCGACGCUCGCACCGCGUGGAGGCCGCCGUAUCCCCCUUCCCCUCCCCAGGAGGCGAAAAGGCCGCCAAUGUGGCGAAGAAGGCCCAACUCCAACUGCAUCUGGAGACCUGGAGCAUGUGCAGUAGGGGCCUUUGGGGUAAUGGAGGACCCCCCGCCGCCUCCUCCUCCUACCAUGCCGCAGCAGCAGCCGCCGCCUCCUCCUACUAUGCCGCAGCAGCCGCGGCCGCCACCACCACCACCGCCGCCGCCACCUCCUCCUCCUCCAAUCCACUCCUGUGGGCUACGGUGGCUGCAUACAUAAACCAUGACAGAUAUUUACACUCACUCAUACUGCAUUUCUAUUAGCUACACAAAAGGGACCUCAAGACAUGAAAUAGCACCCCUGUAGUCACCUUUACACUCAUAUUACCCAACAUAGUACACAUCAUAAAAGACAAUAAGACACAGAAAAGCUGUUUACCACCAUCUAAGUAUGCUUUUUAAUAUGAUUAGAGCCAUCCAGACAUAAAAUAACACCCCUAUAUUCACCUUUACACUCAUAUUACCCAACAUAGUACAUAUCAUAAGAGACAAUAAGACACAGAAAAGCUGUUUACCACCUUCUAAGUAUGCUUUUUAAUAUGAUUAGAGCCCUCCAGACAUGAAAUAACACCCCUAUAGUCACCUUUACACUCCUAUUACCCAACAUAGUACGCAUCAUAAGAGACAACAAGACACAGAAAAGCAGUUUACCACCUUCUAAGUAUGCUUUUUAAUAUGAUUAGAGCCUUCCAGACAUAAAAUAACACCCCUAUAUUCACCUUUACACUCAUAUUACCCAACAUUGUAGGCAUCGGCCCUCCAGACAUGAACUAAAGUGAUAAGUGUGAUUGAGUGAUGUGGAACUGUGAUGACUGUACAGGUACAUGUAAAAGUACAUACUACAUAAAUGCAUAGAGUACAUGACUUCUUGGCUCUCACUACUAAAGGCAUGAUCACCUGACUGGUUGUCAAUCUGUGCCACUAAUAUCAUCAGAUUGUUAUGAUUGAAAAUACGUACUGUAUGUACCCAACUACCUGUAUCACAUUUUUUUAUCAUUCUACUACUUCUUCUACUACACCAUCAUCAUCAUCACCUUGGAUUUCUUAUCCAUUCACCUUUCUUUGCGUAUUUUUACCAACCACGACUAUUAGUACCACUACUACUACCACCACCACUAUUACUACUACUAUUGCUAGUACCACUACCGUUACUACUAUUGCUAAUACCACUACUACUAGUACCACUACUAUUAGUACUAACAACCACCACCACUACUAGUAGUAGUACCUCUACUACUAGUAGUAGUGCCACUACUGCUACUACUUCUACUAUUAGUACAUCUACUACUACCACUACUGCUAAAACCACUACUAUUAGUACCACCUCUAUUAGUACUAACCACUACUACUAGUAGUAGUACCAUUACUCGUAGUAGUACCCCUACUACUACCACUACUAUUAGUACUAACCACCACCAUUACUAUUACCAAUACUACUAGUAGUAGUACCUCUACUGCUACUACUUCUACUAUUAGUACCUCUACUGCUACUACUUCUACUAUUAGUACCUCUACUACUACCACUACUGCUAAAACCACUAUUAGUACCACCUCUAUUAGUACUAACUAUUCCUAGUACCACUACUCGUAGUAGUACCUCUACUACUACCACCACCACUACUAUUAGUACCACCUUUAUUAGUACUAACCACCCAUUACUAUUACUAGUAGUAGUACCACCACCACUACUAGUAGUAGUACCUCUACGACUACUACCACUACUGCUAAACCACUACAAGCACAAUCACUUCUAUUAGUACCACCAUUAAUGCUAGCAUUUCUACUAUUAUACCUCUACUAGUACUACCACUUCUACUAUUAGUGCCACCAUUACUACUAGCAUUUCUAGUACCACUACUACCAGCACCACUGCUACCAUCACUUCUACCGCUAGUAGUAGUAGUAGUAGUAGUAGUAGUAGUGUUGUUGAGGGUAAAGUUGUGUAUGCUGUGUACCAUGUCAUGUAAAGUGUUUCUCUCUGGUGGAAAAGAAAUGUUGGCUAGAAUGACAGUAAACAUCCUGUGUGUCUGUGUGGUACAGUACAAUACAGUACAGUACAGUGAUACUACCGAGUGAUAGUACUCUUGGCAUCACUUAUGGAAUGCCCGAGUUCACUGGGCAGGACUAGUGCUGGGAGAAAAAGGAGCAAUGUAGAACAUUUAAAACAAUGUAGAACAUAUUCUAUACAGUAUAUAUACACACUAGUAUUAUAUGUAUAGACAGGGUGUAUUACAGUACUUGCUAUGUUUUAUGGAGUACUGGAAGCAAAGCAAAUGAGUGCAGCCAUAAUGAAUACUGUACAUCAGACGAGCAAAAGAGGAAGCCAACGUUGCAUCACCUAGUGACCAAGUGACUUGUUUACUUCCUGGUGUCACAGCCAAUUGUGCCACUUCCUCUUUCAGUAAACGCCACCCACCCUUGAUGCAAUUCCUUUCAUUCCGCCACAUAAAAGGCGUUUAAGUACAAGGUGUGGUUCAAAUGGAGUACGCAACCGCAGAGGAAAACAACAACUUGGGACUAAGCUUCACUUGGAAAUAUAGAGGGAGAAAAUAGAAGGAGGCUGAUGUCACUGCAGCGCCCAAAUGAGUGUUUUUUUUCCGCAUUAAAACUUCAUUCAUUCAUUUUCUAAUGCUUAUUCUCACAAGUGUCGUGGGGGGGGUGCUACAGCCUAUCCCAGCUGUCUUCGUGCGAGAGGCGGGGUACACCUGGCCAAUCACAGGGCACGUAUAGACAAACAACCAUUCACACUCACAUUCAUACCUAUGGACAAUUUGGAGUCGCUAAUUAACCUAGCAUGUUUUUUUGGAAUGUGGGAGGAAACCGGAGUACCUGGAGAAAACCCACUCAUGCACGGGGAGAACAUGCUAACUCCACACAGAGAUGGCCCAGGGUGGAAUUGAACUCGGGUCUCCUAGCUGUGAGGCCUACGUGCUAACUGCUUGUUUGCCAUGCAACUGCUUACGCCACCACUGCAGUAGUAUUCUACUACACUGGCCACUAGGGGUCAGGAAUUUGACAUUCAUGAGCCACCAAGUAGCCUGUCAAUGCUAACGUCUAUAUGUCUUAUUUCUCUUAUUCCAUCUACUGUAUUGGGUAGUAGGGGUGUUUAAUGUUUUUGUAAUGUAAUUUAAAUGUGUUUAAUUUAAUUAAAAAAGUGUCUUUAGAAGGUGGUAAACAGCAUUUUCUCUCAUGUCUACUAUAUUAGGUAAUAGUUGUGUAAAGGUGAAUAUAGGGGUGUUAAAUCAUGUCUAAAGGUCUCUAAUAAGGUUAAAAAUCGCCAUGAACGAGGGAUAACUUCUAGGUAGACGUACGUACAAUGAAGAAUGUCAUGUAAGAUGCUAUGUAGUGCACUUUGAGAUUUUGCCAUCCUUUUCCAGAUGUGCAAAUGUAAUAAAAUCAAAUUCCAUACUUUUCUAGACAUGCGUAGUAAGGAAGCCUAAAUAAAGUUUGAACAAUAUGGGAAUAAAGUCAUAUUACGGAAGAAAGUUGCAAUAGGAAAAGACAAUGACGUGCAUGUUUGAGGUUUGAUGGUCUUGGGAAAGUCCAGUAAUGUGAAAUAUUACUGAUGUGAGGAAGUGGUCUUGCCGGAGAACCGUAUAUAAGAGCCGUGAGGCCCGAGCUCCACCAGCCAUGUAUAAGAACGUUCUACUGGUCCUGCUCGUCAUCACGGCGUUGGCUUCUUUGGAAGCCGCCGCCACUUUGAUAACGGACGACGCAUGGAUGUCUCCUCCACGGAAGGGACGACCCGCACGUCGAUACUUCAAUUACUGCUACCUGCGACCAGGAGCGUGCAGCCUUUUAGUAAAACCAGCCAGAGGAGUAACCCAAAGCCCCUUCAUCGCAAAAGCAGGAACGAAGAUUGCACCCAUGCAGCCCCAGUGAUGAUUGCACUGAUGAUUAAACUAUGCAACAAG